UACGUAGGAGGCGAGCGUUGUCCGGAAUUACUGGGCGUAAAGCGCGUGUAGGCGGUCUGAAUAGUCUGCUGUGAAAGCGCCUGGCUUAACCGGGCGAGGUCGGCGGAAACUCUCAGACUGGAGGCCGGUAGAGGGGGGUGGAAUUCCCGGUGUAGUGGUGAAAUGCGUAGAGAUCGGGAGGAACACCAGUGGCGAAGGCGACACGCUGGGCCGUACCUGACACUGAUGCGCGACAGCAUGGGGAGCAAACAGG
rnacentral:rRNA from 1 species